rnacentral:lncRNA from 1 species
GGGAGAAGAAGUAGUUUUUCUAAGGGCUCCCAUUUUAGCUGUACUGUUUCCAUGCGCAUGGCUGAGAUAGCGUGUUCUUUUUGUUUAUCUCCGAUGGAAACCGAGUGGAUUAUUGACUGAAGCGCGCCAGCGCCAGAAAUGUAUCAAACAAAAGGACCAUUUGUAAUGUAACUGAGACCUUUGGAGUGCCAACACAAGAAGAUCUUCAAAGACUAAUCCUGCUUCUGCUGAUGAUGACGGUGACCUUAACACCAGUUUUAGUAGUAGAGCCCGUAUACCCAUUGGAUGAAAGCGUUCAGCCUGGAAUAUGCUCACGCUCAACAUCUGAAGCAAGCCAGGACAGCCAAAGCCAUGGCCUGCAAAGUCAUCAUUCAACGUUCUGGCGCCUUCUGAGAGCCUAUGGGAGCGUUAGAAAAUGUCACGUUAUGCCAGAGAUCCCCUGUUUUGGAUAGAGAUGAUCAAGAAGGCCAAGAAAUAGUCAGAGAGAGCGCUUCCUGUUUGGAAUCCUCUCAGGUUUUGGCCUGCCAUAUGAGUUCUGUUAUACUCACAGACACCAUUCAAACAGUUUUAGAAACUUUAGGGUGUUGUCUAUCCAAAUCUACUAAUUAUAUGCAUAUUCUAGUUUCUGGGCAGGAGUAAUAACCAGAUUAAAUCGGG